rnacentral:rRNA from 1 species
GAUGGACGCUGGCGGCGUGCCUAAUACAUGCAAGUCGAGCGAACGGACGAGAAGCUUGCUUCUCUGAUGUUAGCGGCGGACGGGUGAGUAACACGUGGAUAACCUACCUAUAAGACUGGGAUAACUUCGGGAAACCGGAGCUAAUACCGGAUAAUAUUUUGAACCGCAUGGUUCAAAAGUGAAAGACGGUCUUGCUGUCACUUAUAGAUGGAUCCGCGCUGCAUUAGCUAGUUGGUAAGGUAACGGCUUACCAAGGCAACGAUGCAUAGCCGACCUGAGAGGGUGAUCGGCCACACUGGAACUGAGACACGGUCCAGACUCCUACGGGAGGCAGCAGUAGGGAAUCUUCCGCAAUGGGCGAAAGCCUGACGGAGCAACGCCGCGUGAGUGAUGAAGGUCUUCGGAUCGUAAAACUCUGUUAUUAGGGAAGAACAUAUGUGUAAGUAACUGUGCACAUCUUGACGGUACCUAAUCAGAAAGCCACGGCUAACUACGUGCCAGCAGCCGCGGUAAUACGUAGGUGGCAAGCGUUAUCCGGAAUUAUUGGGCGUAAAGCGCGCGUAGGCGGUUUUUUAAGUCUGAUGUGAAAGCCCACGGCUCAACCGUGGAGGGUCAUUGGAAACUGGAAAACUUGAGUGCAGAAGAGGAAAGUGGAAUUCCAUGUGUAGCGGUGAAAUGCGCAGAGAUAUGGAGGAACACCAGUGGCGAAGGCGACUUUCUGGUCUGUAACUGACGCUGAUGUGCGAAAGCGUGGGGAUCAAACAGGAUUAGAUACCCUGGUAGUCCACGCCGUAAACGAUGAGUGCUAAGUGUUAGGGGGUUUCCGCCCCUUAGUGCUGCAGCUAACGCAUUAAGCACUCCGCCUGGGGAGUACGACCGCAAGGUUGAAACUCAAAGGAAUUGACGGGGACCCGCACAAGCGGUGGAGCACGUGGUUUAAUUCGAAGCAACGCGAAGAACCUUACCAAAUCUUGACAUCCUUUGACAACUCUAGAGAUAGAGCCUUCCCCUUCGGGGGACAAAGUGACAGGUGGUGCAUGGUUGUCGUCAGCUCGUGUCGUGAGAUGUUGGGUUAAGUCCCGCAACGAGCGCAACCCUUAAGCUUAGUUGCCAUCAUUAAGUUGGGCACUCUAAGUUGACUGCCGGUGACAAACCGGAGGAAGGUGGGGAUGACGUCAAAUCAUCAUGCCCCUUAUGAUUUGGGCUACACACGUGCUACAAUGGACAAUACAAAGGGCAGCGAAACCGCGAGGUCAAGCAAAUCCCAUAAAGUUGUUCUCAGUUCGGAUUGUAGUCUGCAACUCGACUACAUGAAGCUGGAAUCGCUAGUAAUCGUAGAUCAGCAUGCUACGGUGAAUACGUUCCCGGGUCU